rnacentral:rRNA from 1 species
GAUGAACGCUGGCGGCGUGCUUAACACAUGCAAGUCGAACGAUGAAGCUCAGCUUGCUGGGUGGAUUAGUGGCGAACGGGUGAGUAACACGUGAGUAACCUGCCCUUAACUCUGGGAUAAGCCUGGGAAACUAGGUCUAAUACCGGAUAGGAGCGCCUACCGCAUGGUGGGGGUUGGAAAGAUUUAUCGGUUUUGGAUGGACUCGCGGCCUAUCAGCUUGUUGGUGAGGUAAUGGCUCACCAAGGCGACGACGGGUAGCCGGCCUGAGAGGGUGACCGGCCACACUGGGACUGAGACACGGCCCAGACUCCUACGGGAGGCAGCAGUGGGGAAUAUUGCACAAUGGGCGAAAGCCUGAUGCAGCGACGCCGCGUGAGGGAUGACGGCCUUCGGGUUGUAAACCUCUUUCAGUAGGGAAGAAGCGAAAGUGACGGUACCUGCAGAAGAAGCACCGGCUAACUACGUG